rfam:Sphaerobolus stellatus SS14 unplaced genomic scaffold SPHSTscaffold_133, whole genome shotgun sequence.
GACGAUGUAGCCAAGUGGUUACGGCGAUUGAUUAGAAAUCAAUUCCUCUUUGAGGGCGUAGGUUCAAAUCCUGCCAUCGUCG